rnacentral:rRNA from 1 species
GUGAGGAAUAUUGCGCAAUGGAGGCAACUCUGACGCAGCCAUGCCGCGUGCAGGAAGAAGGCGCUACGCGUUGUAAACUGCUUUUAACCGGGAAGAAACCCCAGGACGUGUCCUGGGUUGACGGUACCGGAGGAAUAAGCACCGGCUAACUUCGUGCCAGCAGCCGCGGUAAUACGGAGGGUGCAAGCGUUAUCCGGAUUCAUUGGGUUUAAAGGGUGCGUAGGCGGAGCGUUAAGUCAGUGGUGAAAUCCUGCAGCUUAACUGUAGACUUGCCAUUGAUACUGGCGCUCUUGAGUGCGCUUGAAGUGGGCGGAAUGUGCCGUGUAGCGGUGAAAUGCUUAGAUAUGGCACAGAACACCAAUUGCGAAGGCAGCUCACUAAGGCGAUACUGACGCUGAGGCACGAAAGCGUGGGGAUCGAACAGGAUUAGAAACCCUGGUAGUCC